rnacentral:rRNA from 1 species
AGCAGUGGGAGCCUCUUUUAUGGGGUGACUGCGUACCUUUUGUAUAAUGGGUCAGCGACUUAUAUUCUGUAGCAAAGGUUAACCGUAUAGGGGAGCCGAAGGGAAACCGAGUCUUAACUGGGCGUUAAGUUGCAGGGUAUAGACCCGAAACCCGGUGAUCUAGCCAUGGGCAGGUUGAAGGUUGGGUAACACUAACUGGAGGACCGAACCGACUAAUGUUGAAAAAUUAGCGRAUGACCUGUGGCUGGGGGUGAAAGGCCAAUCAAACCGGRARAUAGCUGGUUCUCCCCRAAAGCUAUUUAGGUAGCSCCUCGUGAWUUCAUCUCCGGGGRUARAGCACUGUUUCGSCUAGGGGGCCAUCCCGGCUUACCAMCCCKAUGCAAAYUGCGAAUACCGRARAAUGUUAUCACGGGAGACACACGGCGGGUGCUAACGUCCGUCGUGAAGAGGGAAACAACCCAGACCGCCAGCUAAGGUCCCAAAGUCAUGGUUAAGUGGGAAACGAUGUGGGAAGGCCCAGACAGCCAGGAUGUUGGCUUAGAAGCAGCCAUCAUUUAAAGAAAGCGUAAUAGCUCACUGGUCGAGUCGGCCUGCGCGGAAGAUGUAACGGGGUUAAUCCAUGCACCGAAGUUGCGGCAGCGACACUAUGUGUUGUUGGGUAGGGGAGCGUUCUGUAAGCCGUUGAAGGUGGCCUGUGAGGGUUGCUGGAGGUAUCAGAAGUGCGAAUGCUGACAUAAGUAACGAUAAAGCGGGUGAAAAGCCCGCUCGCCGGAAGA